GGUCCCGUAGUGGAGCGGUUUAACACGCCUGCCUGUCACGCAGGAGAUCGCGGGUUCGAGUCCCGUCGGGACCGCCA
rnacentral:tRNA from 1 species